AUUGAACGCUGGCGGCAUGCCUAACACAUGCAAGUCGAACGGCAGCGGGUAUCGUAGUAAUACGGUAUGCCGGCGAGUGGCGGACGGGUGAGUAAUGCAUAGGAAUCUGCCUUAUAGACUGGGACAACUUGUAGAAACGCGAGCUAAUACCGGAUGAUCUCUACGGAGGAAAAGAUGGGACUGGAGACAGCCAUUUGCUAAUAGAUGAGCCUAAGUCGGAUUAGCUAGUUGGUGGGGUAAAGGCCUACCAAGGCGACGAUCUGUAGCGGGUCUGAGAGGAUGAUCCGCCACACUGGGACUGAGACACGGCCCAGACUCCUACGGGAGGCAGCAGUGGGGAAUAUUGGACAAUGGGCGGAAGCCUGAUCCAGCCAUACCGCGUGUGUGAAGAAGGCCUUUUGGUUGUAAAGCACUUUAAGCGAGGAGGAGGCUACCUGGAUUAAUACUCUAGGAUAGUGGACGUUACUCGCAGAAUAAGCACCGGCUAACUCUGUGCCAGCAGCCGCAGUAAGAC
rnacentral:rRNA from 1 species